AACGAACGCUGGCGGCGUGCCUAACACAUGCAAGUCGAACGUGAAAGUCCUUCGGGGCGAGUAAAGUGGCGCACGGGGGAGUAACGCGUAGAUAAUUUACCCGAUGAUAUGGGAUAACAUUUCGAAAGCUGGGCUAAUACCGCAUAUGCUCUACGGAGGCAAGUGGGGGACUCCCAAGGGCCUAACGCUAUGGGAGCGGCCGAUGUCCGAUUAGCUGGUUGGUGGGGUAAAGGCCCACCAAGGCGACGAUCGGUAGCUGGUCUGAGAGGAUGAUCAGGCACACUGGGACUGAGACACGGCCCAGACUCCUACGGGAGGCAGCAGUGGGGAAUUUUGGACAAUGGGGGCAACCCUGAUCCAGCCAUGCCGCGUGCGGGAAGAAGGCCUUCGGGUUGUAAACCGCUUUUGUCUGGGAAGAAAAGGCCUCGUCUAAUACAUGAGGUUCUUGACGGUACCGGAAGAAUAAGCACCGGCUAACUACGUGCCAGCAGCCGCGGUAAUAC
rnacentral:rRNA from 1 species